rnacentral:rRNA from 1 species
GACGAACGCUGGCGGCGUGCUUAACACAUGCAAGUCGAACGGUAAGGCCCUUCGGGGUACACGAGUGGCGAACGGGUGAGUAACACGUGGGUGAUCUGCCCUGCACUUCGGGAUAAGCCUGGGAAACUGGGCCUAAUACCGGAUAGGACUCCGGACUGCAUGGUCUGGGGUGGAAAGCUUUUGCGGUGUGGGAUGGGCCCGCGGCCUAUCAGCUUGUUGGUGGGGUGAUGGCCUACCAAGGCGACGACGGGUAGCCGGCCGGAGAGGGUGACCGGCCACACUGGGACUGAGAUACGGCCCAGACUCCUACGGGAGGCAGCAGUGGGGAAUAUUGCACAAUGGGCGCAAGCCUGAUGCAGCGACGCCGCGUGAGGGAUGACGGCCUUCGGGUUGUAAACCUCUUUCAGCAUCGACGAAGCGAAAGUGACGGUAGGUGCAGAAGAAGGACCGGCCAACUACGUGCCAGCAGCCGCCGUAA